AAUUCGGCUAUGAUUCUUCACUGCUACUAAAACAAAAGCAAUAAGUGUGUUUAUGACCGGUUAAAGGAUUACAAGAUGGAUUUCUUGACUUGUGGAGAGAAGGACCCACUGUAUGCCAAAUACAGCACUUUUCCCGGAUGGCAUUCUUCACACAUACAUGCAACCCAGAUACGCCUGGGGCCUCCAGACACCACUAACUUCUCAGCCAAAGACAUUUCUUCUCUGCUAUCCUGGUUCACUGACAGCAUCCUCACCUCGUCCAUCACAGUCUGGGUUCCUGUAUCCUCAACGGCUGAUCUGCCCAGCUAAGAUUACCUGUCAGUACUUGAGGAACUUUAAAUCCUGACAUAAGAUCACCUGCAACCAAG
ensembl:lncRNA